rnacentral:tRNA from 1 species
CUUAAAUAAGAAGCAAAAAUUUGCAUUUAGUUUCGACCUAAAAGUUUGAUUAUAAUAAUCCUUAUUUAAAUU